AAGGCUUCAGUACGACCCAGUCAGAACAAUAAGUCUCAAAGCCCCGACGAGUAGGGUGGCGUGCCGGUGAGCGUUGAAGGCCAAGACGUGAGUCAGGCUGGAGCCGCCGGUAGUGCAGAUCUUGGUGGUAGUAGCAAGUACUCUGGUGAACCAACCUGGAGCUGUGAGGUCUGGAUUAGGGUUCCAUGUCAACAGUGAUUGAACAUGGGUGAGUCGAUCCUAAGCCAACUGUGAAAGCAGUGACAUCCCGACAAAGGUGUGCAAUAGGGGGUGUGCCCGGCGCUAAUAAGCUUACACUCGCCUCCUCUCGAUACAAAGGGCAUGAUGGCAAAGGAGCGUCAUGUCUGAGUGAUAUGCUAUGGUUACGCUCAAAGGGCGUUGAAGGACGGGAUACACAUAUGAAAGAGAGGUGGCUUUGGCGAGGUGCUUUCUUGGAGCGUUUGAGAUGCGCACACUAUGCUAUAUCUGCGUUGGUUCUAUGUCUGGCGAAAGGGAAUGGGGACUUUGUUCCUUGACCGGUCCCGGCACCCUCGAUAGGCUUUGCCAUUCAAUGGUCCAUGCAAAUGGAACCAGGCCACAGCCGCCGGCAGUCGCCCGAGGAAGAGUUUUCUUUUCUGCUUAACGCACGAGAUCAUCCCUGGAAACAGUUCGGCUGGCGAAAGGGUGCCCCGUUGCGGCAGAGCGCCACGACUGUCGUGCGCGUCUCGGUGUUCCUGCCGGUCCGUGAAGACGUGGUCGAGGGGAUUGCUGCACACUUGUAUCAACGAAACGCCCGACAAGUUCGGGACGGACCGUACCCUAUAUCCGCAUCUGGUCUCCAAGGUUCGUAGCCUCUGCAGAGUCAGACACAUGUAGGUAAGGGAAGUCGGCAAACUCGAUCCGUAACUUCGGGAAAAGGAUUGGCUCUGAGGGCCGAGCUGGGCCGGGCCUUGCCUGCAAAGCAGUACCUAUAGUGACCGGAGUUUUAGGAGUGCGAGGGGCUCUAGUAGCUGGCUGCGUUCACGCGUGGUCACGAACGAGUCUACCGCUCCGCUCCAACCACGAACGGCUGUGACGGCAAGGGCUCUGGGCGGAAGCGUUCAACCCGUUCGACUCCCAGCUCGUCUGGGUGGUGGCGGUGCUUCGUCUGACCCAUACGGCUCCAGCGGCUAGCGGCUAACUCAGAACUGUCAUGGACCAAGGGAAUCCGACUGUCUAAUUAAAACAAAGCGUCGUGACGGCCCCUGUUGGGUGUUGACGCGACGUGAUUUCUGCCCAGUGCUCUAA
rnacentral:rRNA from 1 species